rnacentral:rRNA from 1 species
AGUGAACGCUGGCGGUAGGCCUAACACAUGCAAGUCGAACGGCAGCACAGUAAGAGCUUGCUCUUACGGGUGGCGAGUGGCGGACGGGUGAGGAAUACAUCGGAAUCUACUUUUUCGUGGGGGAUAACGUAGGGAAACUUACGCUAAUACCGCAUACGACCUACGGGUGAAAGCAGGGGAUCUUCGGACCUUGCGCGAUUGAAUGAGCCGAUGUCGGAUUAGCUAGUUGGCGGGGUAAAGGCCCACCAAGGCGACGAUCCGUAGCUGGUCUGAGAGGAUGACCAGCCACACUGGAACUGAGACACGGUCCAGACUCCUACGGGAGGCAGCAGUGGGGAAUAUUGGACAAUGGGCGCAAGCCUGAUCCAGCCAUACCGCGUGGGUGAAGAAGGCCUUCGGGUUGUAAAGCCCUUUUGUUGGGAAAGAAAAGCAGCAGGUUAAUACCCCGCUGUUCUGACGGUACCCAAAGAAUAAGCAUCGGCUAACUUCGUG